UACGUAGGGGGCGAGCGUUGUCCGGAAUUAUUGGGCGUAAAGAGCGUGUAGGCGGUUCGGUAAGUCUGUCGUGAAAUCCUGAGGCUCAACCUCGGGCGUGCGAUGGAUACUGCCGGGCUAGAGGGUGGUAGAGGCGAGUGGAAUUCCCGGUGUAGCGGUGAAAUGCGUUGAUAUCAGAAGGAACGCCGGUGGCGAAAGCGACCCACUGGAUCUCUACUGACGCUGAGGCGCGAAAGCCAGGGGAGCAAACGGG
rnacentral:rRNA from 1 species